AUGCACAAGGACUUGAGAGCAGUGAGAACAAAAUUCUCUUCUGUGGACGCGCAUUCCGGUGAUUUCGAUCGGUAUCUGGAGAUGAACCGUGUCAGCACUCCUAAUGGUAUUGAGGAGAUUCUUGGUCAUGCUGAGCUGAUAUCAUCAAGAAGUGUAAGAACAACAGAUCAAGUGUCUAGUCUGAAUAUUGGAAGACUGACAGCAGCACGAGAACUUUGGAUAGAGCAACGUCACCAGCUGGAGAAUCUUUUCUCCCGGGAAGAAGUGGAUGAAUUGUCUAGAAUAGGAAAACUGCAGAAUAUAUUUAUCUCCAACAUGGACAAUUUAGCAUACUUCUGCCGGGGGGUGGAAGAUUCCCACUAG
rnacentral:rRNA from 1 species